GAUCAGGCUCAGGAUGAACGCUGGCGGCGUGCUUAACACAUGCAAGUCGAACGAAGCACUUAAGAUUGAUUCUUCGGAUGAAGUCUUUUGUGACUGAGUGGCGGACGGGUGAGUAACGCGUGGGUAACCUGCCUCAUACAGGGGGAUAACAGUUAGAAAUGACUGCUAAUACCGCAUAAGCGCACAGGGUCGCAUGACCUGGUGUGAAAAACUCCGGUGGUAUGAGAUGGACCCGCG
rnacentral:rRNA from 1 species